rnacentral:tRNA from 1 species
GCACCCGUAGCUCAAUUGGAUAGAGUAUCUGACUACGGAUCAGACGGUUAGAGGUUCGACUCCUCUCGGGUGCACCA